rnacentral:rRNA from 1 species
GAUGAACGCUGGCGGCGCGCCUAACACAUGCAAGUCGAACGGUUAAAGCACCUUUUAGGUGUGUAUAAAGUGGCGAACGGCUGAGUAACACGUGGGCAACCUGCCCUCCUCUUGGGGAUAGCCUCGGGAAACCGAGGAUAAUACCCGAUACUUCAAUGUGGCCGCAUGACGACAUUGAGAAAGCUUUUGCGGAGAAGGAUGGGCCCGCGGCCUGUUAGCUUGUUGGUGGGGUAGAGGCCUACCAAGGCAAUGAUGGGUAGCUGGGUUGAGAGACCGACCAGCCAGAUUGGGACUGAGACACGGCCCAGACUCCUACGGGAGGCAGCAGUGGGGAAUCUUGCACAAUGGGCGAAAGCCUGAUGCAGCGACGCCGCGUGCGGGAAGAAGGCCUUCGGGUUGUAAACCGCUUUCAGCAGGGACGAGGCGAAAGUGACGGUACCUGCAGAAGAAGCCCCGGCUAACUACGUGCCAGCAGCCGCGGUAAUACGUAGGGGGCAAGCGUUAUCCGGAUUCAUUGGGCGUAAAGCGCUCGUAGGCGGUCUGUUAGGUCGGGAGUUAAAUCCGGAGGCUCAACCUCCGCCCGCUCCCGAUACCGGCAGACUUGAGUUUGGUAGGGGGAAGGUGGAAUUCCUAGUGUAGCGGUGGAAUGCGCAGAUAUUAGGAAGAACACCAGUGGCGAAGGCGGCCUUCUGGGCCAUAACUGACGCUGAGGAGCGAAAGCUAGGGGAGCAAACAGG